AUUGAACGCUGGCGGCAGGCCUAACACAUGCAAGUCGAGCGAGCGGCGGACGGGUGAGUAAUGUCUGGGAAACUGCCUGAUGGAGGGGGAUAACUACUGGAAACGGUAGCUAAUACCGCAUACCAUCAGAUGUGCCCCGAUGGGAUUAGCUAGUAGGGGGGGUAACGGCGCACCAAGGCGACGAUCCCUAGCUGGUCUGUGAGGAUGACCAGCAACACUGGAACUGAGACACGGGCCAGACUCCUACGGGAGGAAGCAGUGGGGAAUAUUGCACAAUGGGCGCAAGCCUGAUGCAGCCAUGCCGCGUGUGUGAAGAAGGCCUUCGGGUUGUAAAGCACUUUCAGCGGGGAGGCGUUACCCGCAGAAGAAGCACCGGCUAACUCCGUGCCAGCAGCCGCGGUAAUUC
rnacentral:rRNA from 1 species